GUCAUCCAAUUACAUCCUACUCGUAUAUUCUCAGUAAUAAGGUCUGAGCGUUUCUACCUGGUUCCCAUUGAAAGAACUAGACUACGAGUUAAAGCAUAUCGCUG
rnacentral:ncRNA from 1 species